AGUGAACGCUGGCGGUAGGCCUAACACAUGCAAGUCGAACGGCAGCACAGAGGAGCUUGCUCCUUGGGUGGCGAGUGGCGGACGGGUGAGGAAUACAUCGGAAUCUACUCUGUCGUGGGGGAUAACGUAGGGAAACUUACGCUAAUACCGCAUACGACCUACGGGUGAAAGCAGGGGAUCUUCGGACCUUGCGCGAUUGAAUGAGCCGAUGUCGGAUUAGCUAGUUGGCGGGUAAAGGCCCACCAAGGCGACGAUCCGUAGCUGGUCUGAGAGGAUGAUCAGCCACACUGGAACGGAGACACGGUCCAGACUCCGACGGGAGGCAGCAGUGGGGAAUAUUGGACAAUGGGCGCAAGCCUGAUCCAGCCAUACCGCGUGGGUGAAGAAGGCCUUCGGGUUGUAAAGCCCUUUUGUUGGGAAAGAAAUCCAUCUGGUUAAUACCCGGGUGGGAUGACGGUACCCAAAGAAUAAGCACCGGCUAACUUCGUGCCAGCCGCCGCCGUAA
rnacentral:rRNA from 1 species